UACGGAGGGGGCUAGCGUUAUUCGGAAUUACUGGGCGUAAAGCGCACGUAGGCGGCUUUGUAAGUUAGAGGUGAAAGCCUGGAGCUCAACUCCAGAAUUGCCUUUAAGACUGCAUAGCUUGAAUCCAGGAGAGGUGAGUGGUAUUCUGAGUGUAGAGGUGUAAUUCGUAGAUAUUCGGAAGAACACCAGUGGCGAAGGCGGCUCACUGGACUGGUAUUGACGCUGAGGUGCGAAAGCGUGGGGAGCAAACAGG
rnacentral:rRNA from 1 species